UUGGUGCUUUUCUGCACCAUCUCGACAAAGAGUUGCUCCGAUGCCCUUUCUUGACUCGGGUUUAAACCCAAUUUUGCCCUUUACUUCAGGUGAAGAACUUGAUCUGCAGCUCACCGAGGAGAACGAGUCGGAGCUUCAUCUUCCAUCAGGACAUCGUACUACUGAUUCAGAAGAAUCUGACGGAAGUUCCACCAGUCCUGGACAGCAAUGCCAAUGUGUGUUUCGACAAACAGAUUUUCCGGUUUUGACCGAUCUUGGUUUUUUGCAUUUAUUGUUUUUUUCCACGAUCUCGAGUACUGAAAAGUGAUCCCUGUCUAGACGAUCAGCUGAACAUAUCAGGUAACCUCUCGCAUGUGGCCCAAGAUACUUUUUUUUGGAGAAGAUACUCAAACUUUAGUUUGUAUGUGGCGGGUGGGACCGGCAUUUUUUUCUGCACCAUCUCGACAAAGAGUUGCUCUGAUGCCCUUUCUUGACUCGGGUUUAAACCCAAUUUUGCCCUUUACUUCAGGUGAAGAACUUGAUCUGCAGCUCACCGAGGAGAACGAGUCGGAGCUUCAUCUUCCAUCAAGACAUCGUACUCCUGAUUCAGAAGAAUCUGACGGAAGUUCCACCAGUCCUGGACAGCAGUGCCAAUGUGUGUUUCGACAAACAGAUUUUCUGGUUUUGACCGAUCUUGGUUUUUUUGCAUUUUUUGUCUUUUUUCCACGAUCUCGAGUACUGAAAAGUGAUCCCUGUCUAGACGAUCAGCUGAACAUAUCAGGUAACCUCUCGUAUGUGGCCCAAGAUACUUUUUUUUGGAGAAGAUACUCCAACUUUAGUUUGUAUGUGGCGGGUGGGACCGGCAUUUUUUUCUGCGCCAUCUCGCCAAAGAGUUGCUCCGAUGCCCUUUCUUGACUCGGGUUUAAACCCAAUUUUGCCCUUUACUUCAGGUGAAGAACUUGAUCUGCAGCUCACCGAGGAGAACGAGUCGGAGCUUCAUCUUCCAUCAGGACAUCGUACUACUGAUUCAGAAGAAUCUGACGGAAGUUCCACCAGCCUUGGACAGCAGUGCCAAUGUGUGUUUCGACAAACAUUGCUGCCAGAACCGGACCAAAAGUUCAUGACAAUGUGCCAGGAGCAUUUCCAUCUGAUGAUGCAACAAGAGCCACAGCAACAACCAGCAGGGCAGCAGCAGGCAACUGGAGUGCAGCUCCCACCGGAUGUGCAGCUCCAGGCCAGCAUGGUAUCGACCGUAGUCUGGUUACCAGUGUACCUGGAGGGUCCGGCCCAUGAUCCACAGGCCAGCAACUCAAAUGAGUCGAAGGCCCAUUUUGAACUAAUCUGUUGUGACUCAACGGUAUUUCAGCCCGCAGAGGGGACCGUGGAAGAGAAUGACAUCCUGCAUCCAAUAGCACCUGUCUCACCCACAGGACAUCCACAGCACGUCGGAUUUCUGCACACAGCUCAAUCUUUCAAUGCACCAAGUGCCGAUGAAGAUGCAGCACCAGCAGGAGGAUUUACUCCAAGGGCCGCAGAAAUGGUGUCAGUGGAAGAAAUUACAGAAGCUGCUGCUUAUCAAACAGUGGGGGUGGCAGAAGCAAUCAAAGUGUCUGACACUGCAGGAGCAAAUGAUGCAGAAAUCAUAACAGGAGAGGUGAUAAAUCAGCUUGUGGCAAAAGCACAGGUAGCUACAUCUUCUGCAGUUGAACAAGUAGAAAGAGUGAUAAAAGCAGCAGAUAUCAUAAACACAACCUUGGAGAAUAUGGUGGAAGCGUCAAACGCUGCCAAAUCGCUCGUAUUGGAAAUAAAUAUAUUGGCAGAAGAAGCAAGAGCAGAGGCAGAAAGAUUAAUUGAAGUCGCAGAAGCAACAGAAGGGGAAGCGGCAGCAGCUCAGGAAGCUGUCGUGAAAACAGCGGGUGCAGCGAUGGUAGAAGGUGCAGACACAGCAGCUGUGGAAGGGUCUACCAAAGCUGCACUUUACACGAGCGCAGCGAGAGCAACGAAAAAAGUAGCAAUUGUAGUACAAUUGCAGGCAUUAGCUCUCGUCAUUGCCGAAGACACAAAAGCCGAAGUGAAAACAUUUGAGGCCAUAUUAAAAUGCAUCGAAAUACAGGUUGAAAGAGCUACGAAGUAUGCAAAAAAUGCAGAAAGAGCAAGAGUAGCAAUAGCAUCAUUCGGCGCUGAGGAUGAAAUGACAACAGAGAUCGAAGAAAUAACAACAGAAGUCGCUUAUCUGAAUGCUUGUGCAGCAGAUGUGCAGUGGCUGUGAUACUGUCGCAUCUCAACAGGAAUUUUGGCCCAACAUCACAAACCUGCGACAAAUGAUCAGAACGUUUUUGUUGUUUGGAAACUAGAGGGUAAAAUGGUUUAAGUUUACCGCCACAAAGCAUCGAAACGCAGUGACGUUUUGGGCUUUACCCUUCGUCGGAACUAAAAAGCUAGUACGUGGGGUUUUAAUCCCGUCUCCCCGCAUCAUGAGCAAUCAGAUGGAAAUUGACACUAGACAGCCCACCCGGCCUCGAUUUCCACUAUAGCAUCUGGGAUUGGCCGAUCCAUUAAAAGCCUAGUCGUCGUCUUGAUCAACACAGGCACGAAAGUUGGGUCUGAGAGCAGGUGGGAUCCCGUCCGCGGAGACAGCCCGGCACUGCGGAGAAGCUCCAUGUAUCCUCCUGGCAGCCGAGUUGAUAUCGCAGUCCAAGCAAUUUCCUGAUGUUUGUCCAUCGUACCUCAGUGUUGUUUGUCUUUUAUUUCAUAUUUAGUGUUCAAAUUGCAUGUUCUGUGCUUCGUACUUACAACAUCCCCCAUGGGCCUCGUUAGAUACCGUAGAAAAUAGUGAUACUAGUUGCACAGAGUUACUAGGAAAGGAUUUCUGUUUCAUCGUUGAAUAUAACUUGCUUGUUGGCAACAUGCCGUACGUCUUAGUACCUGUGAAACUUGUGGACGAUGUAGUUUGUAGAUAUUAGUCUAAUCCUCCUAAUAUUACGAGGACAAGUCAAUAAAUACACUUUACUGUUACGAAGAGUGCAUGCGUAUCAUACAUUGGUCUUUGUGUGAAAAGACAGAACAAGUGCGAGUCAUUUUUUUUGACCACUUAAUACCCGGCUUCUCCGAGUGUGGUGCUGGUAAUUGUGUUGCAAUCAUAAAGCACGAGUCAUAAAGAUGGCUGCCCCCAUGACAACGACUGUGCACCAUUAUGGAGCAGCGAGGAAUCAAGGUUUCCACUUAGUGAAGGUAUCUAAAUCAAACCACGUGACAUUAUUCGUGGAAUGACUGCACAAUGUGGUACGAACAAUAUGUGUCAGAAAAAUAUGUAUGAGUGGUGGGAAACGGUUUUGUAACGGAUGCGUCUGCGUGAUGAACACCGGGCCUGGGCAGCCAUUGUCUGCUGCGACAGAAGACUUUACCAUCCUUUUUGAAACCGAUCACACCAAUCGUAAAAAAAAAAAUUCUGUGACAUCCAGUUUGUAGCAACGUCACUUGCUUUGACACCUUCACGAAGCAGAAACCUAGUUACAACUCCUUGUUCCUCCGUAGUGGUGCACUCUAGUCAUGGGACAGCCAUCUUCAUAUAGCACAAUUACUAGCACCACACAUGGGGGAAGUCGAGUACUAAGUGGUCAACAAGUGACUCACACUUGGCCCUGCAGUAUAACACGUAUGGACAAAAAGUGACAAUAAAUUCAAUAAAUGUAUUGACUUACCUAGUGGAAGUGUGAUGUGAUAGUUGUUAAUUUGUUUAUUCCAUGAAGCCAAAGGCCUCAAUGACAUCAGCUUAAAAAGCUUCGACACUUGCUCAUUGUUUGUUUUUUUUCAACUCCUCUAAAUCCUGUUCGAAAAACUGAGAUUUGUUUGUAUGAGUUUUUUCGUAAACAAAAUAAAAGUUCUU
ensembl:lincRNA